AACGAACGCUGGCGGCAUGCUUAACACAUGCAAGUCGAACGAGACCUCCGGGUUUCGCGGCGCAAGUGUGCGUAAUGCGUGGGAACACGCCCUUAGGUUCGGUAUAACUCCCCGACAGGGGUGCUAAUAACGGCUGGGGUCCUCGGACCAAUGAUUUAUCGCCUUUGGGUGUGUCCGCGUUGGAUUAGCUCGUUGGUAGGGUAAAAGCGUACCAAGGCGACGAUUCAUAGCUGGUCUGAGAGGAUGAUCAGCCACACUGGGACUGAGGCACGGCGGCGGCUCCGACGGUAGGCAGAAGUGGGGAAUAUUGGAGAAUGGACGAAAGCCUGAGCAUGCCGUGCCGCGGGUGUGAUGCAGGCCUUGGGGUUGUAAAGCUCUUUUAGCCGGGAUGAUAAUGACGGUACCGGGAGAAGAAGCACCGGCUAACUCCGUG
rnacentral:rRNA from 1 species